rnacentral:rRNA from 1 species
UUACCUACGGGGCGCAGCAGUAGGGAAUCUUCCACAAUGGGCGCAAGCCUGAUGGAGCAACACCGCGUGAGUGAAGAAGGGUUUCGGCUCGUAAAGCUCUGUUGUUGGAGAAGAACGUGCGUGAGAGUAACUGUUCACGCAGUGACGGUAUCCAACCAGAAAGUCACGGCUAACUACGUGCCAGCAGCCGCGGUAAUACGGAGGGGGCAAGCGUUAUCCGGAUUUACUGGGUGUAAAGGGAGCGUAGGCGGCAAGGGAAGCCAGAAGGGACAGCCCGCGGCUCAACUGGGGGA